UAGUACAAUUUUACGGGACCGACAAUGA
rnacentral:sRNA from 1 species